rnacentral:rRNA from 1 species
UACGAAGGGGGCUAGCGUUGCUCGGAAUCACUGGGCGUAAAGCGCACGUAGGCGGCUUGUUAAGUCAGGGGUGAAAUCCUGGAGCUCAACUCCAGAACUGCCUUUGAUACUGGCGAGCUUGAGUUCGGGAGAGGUGAGUGGUACUGCGAGUGUAGAGGUGAAAUUCGUAGAUAUUCGCAAGAACACCAGUGGCGAAGGCGGCUCACUGGCCCGAUACUGACGCUGAGGUGCGAAAGCGUGGGGAGCAAACAGG